rnacentral:lncRNA from 1 species
UUCAAGAUGAGCCACUAAUUAUGGAUUUCAAUGGUGAUCUAAUUCCUGAUAUUUUUGGUAUCACAAAUGAAUCCAACCAGCCACAGAUACUAUUAGGAGGGAAUUUAUCAUGGCAUCCAGCAUUGACCACUACAAGUAAAAUGCGAAUUCCACAUUCUCAUGCAUUUAUUGAUCUGACUGAAGAUUUUACAGCAGAUUUAUUCCUGACGACAUUGAAUGCCACCACUAGUACCUUCCAGUUUGAAAUAUGGGAAAAUUUGGAUGGAAACUUCUCUGUCAGUACUAUAUUGGAAAAACCUCAAAAUAUGAUGGUGGUUGGACAGUCAGCAUUUGCAGACUUUGGUAAGAUUUGGUAAAAAAAAAAAAAAAAGGCUUUUGCCUUUCCAAUUCUCUCCUUCUUUCUGUUCUAUUUAUAUUAAUUCCCCAUAGCAGGAAAUAACUCCAGGGUCUUCAGAGCUAUUAUAGCUUCAAAAGAUGCCUAUUCCAUAAUAGUAUUGUAUGUGACAUGUCAAUUCCUUAAUGAAAUAAGGAGAAAUUUAUGAUGUGUUUAAAAAAUAGU